ensembl:snRNA U2 U2 spliceosomal RNA
AUUGCUUCUCGGCCUUUUGGCUAAGAUCAAGUGUAGUAAAAAUCCCUUCUAUUCUGAUUCUGUAAGUCUUAUCUUUUUAGAUUUCAUAGAUCAGUGAGUUAGGGCAGUAUAUUUCUCCUUCUGUGUCUGAGUUGUUUCAU